AAAAUAGUUUUUAUUUUGGACAAGUGCAAAGAGCUGGUUGGUUAGACACAAAAGAAUAAAGAUAGAUACGUCUCCACAAGCCAGACUAGGAGCCUCUCAACUUUUCCCGAUGAGCACUAAGGCGAUUUUCUUGUGUAUAUUCAAAGAGAAAAAGAUGAGAGUUUUAGCGUGAGAGGGUAGAGAAGAUUUGAAUGUGAGUUGAAUGAUAGCUCUUCAUAAUCCUCAUCAACGCUUAGGUUUCGCCUCUAAAACCACAGAAAGCAAAACAAAACACACACCAAAACACACAUGAUUCCUUGAUUCUUUGGUUUGAAAAGGACAAAGAAGAUAGAUGCAUGAAGCUCACAAUUCCAUCUCAACCUCAGGAGAAUCUCAGAUCUAUAGAGGGGCCCAGACUAAUCCCUUGGGGGAGGUGCAGCUCACAGAUAGACUCUUUCUCCGGGUAUGCAAAUGGGCCGAAAGCAAGGGCCCAUAUCCAUGUGGCCAAGUAGAGAUCUAACAAUUGCGCGCUUGCGGGGAAUCGAUCACUGGCCUAGACCAACAGGGCAACUCUUCCACAAGUGGCAACCACUAGACUAAGAACACUUGGUUAAGAUGACGAUUUUUAUUAGGAUAAAUAAUGGAAAUGAGAGUAUAGCACCAAAAUAUAAUUGUUAUUUGUCGACGAAGUCAUGGAUAAAUUUAAAGUUGUUGUGAAACAAUUUUUUAUGCU